GAUGAAGAACGUAGCGAAAUGCGAUAAGUAAUGUGAAUUGCAGAAUUCAGUGAAUCAUCGAAUCUAUGAACGCACAUUGCGCCCCCCAGUAUUCUGGCGGGCAUGCCUGUUCGAGCGUCAUUUCAACCAUCAAGCCCUGCUUGUGUUGGGGUCCUGCGGCUGCCCGCAGGCCCUGAAAACCAGUGGCGGGCUCGCUAGUCACACCGAGCGCAGUAGCACAUCUCGCUCAGGGCGUGCGGCGGGCUCCAGCCGUUAAAGCACCCACCUUUCGCAAGGUUGACCUCGGAUCAGGUAGGAAUACCCGCUGAACUUAAGCAUAUCAAUAAGCGGAGGA
rnacentral:misc_RNA from 1 species